UUGCCUGAGCGGAGCCAGAGAGGACAUCACAGGACAUUACCUCCAGUGUUGGAUUACUGCUUUAAAUUGAAAACUGAGGCGAUAUUUCAUGAACAAGAACGCCACACACUGCAGCGACUGCAUUUAGAUAGUGUGUAGCUUCCUGUUCACAAGGAAAGUGUGAGAGGGCUGUCUGCAAUUGGACAUUCUGAGAUGGAAAGAGACUUUGGCCCCCUGCUCCCUUCAAGAGGAGGAGGCAGCUGACUACUGAUGAGCUUAGGAUCAUAGCAGAGUAGGACAAGGCUCAUGAGGGCAUGAGCACACAGGAGGAAGAUCUGCUGGACCAGGAACUACAGCAGGAACACCCAGACCACAAGGAUAUGGUGGAUGAGAUGGAACCUGAGCCCCAGCCAAGACCAUCAACUGGGCUGGUAAAUCCACUGCAAUGGCUUUGAAGUCUGCGCCGGUCUGCUGGAGCUUCAGGGAACUAGGGUAUUUCCAGGACCUACGAUGGAGAUGGAAACAUUGGUCCGGGAACCCCACGCACCACAGGCUGCCCCUGAUCGAGCAGGAGCAUAUGGGAUACCAUGAGAUUGGGAGAGUGACAUAAAAGGACCACGCCAGCGCCAGAUCAAGAGAGAGAGACUGGGUCAAGAGCCUUACCCGAAGCUAUAUUAUUGUGAAACUGAUGUGUUUAAGUGACUACAUCCCUGUGCAGCUGAUGAGUUAUUGUGAAG